rnacentral:rRNA from 1 species
GACGAACGCUGGCGGCGUGCUUAACACAUGCAAGUCGAACGGAAAGGCCCUGCUUUUGUGGGGUGCUCGAGUGGCGAAAGGGUGAGUAACACGUGAGUAACCUGCCCUUGACUUUGGGAUAACUUCAGGAAACUGGGGCAAAUACCGGAUAGGAGCUCCUGCUGCAUGGUGGGGGUUGGUAAGUUUCGGCGGUUGGGGAUGGACUCGCGGCGUAUCAGCUUGUUGGUGGGGUAGUGGCUUACCAAGGCUUUGACGGGUAGCCGGCCUGAGAGGGUGACCGGCCACAUUGGGACGGAGAUACGGCCCAGACUCCUACGGGAGGCAGCAGUGGGGAAUAGUGCACAAUGGGCGGAAGCCUGAUGCAGCGACGCCGCGUGCGGGAUGACGGCCUUCUGGUUGUAACCCGCUUUCGCCUGGGACGAAGCGUGAGUGACGGUAAUGGGUAAAGAAGCACCGGCUAACUACGUG